GAUAUGGCUCAGGAUGAACGCUAGCGGCAGGCCUAACACAUGCAAGUCGAGGGGCAGCACGGUGUAGCAAUACACUGGUGGCGACCGGCGCACGGGUGCGUAACGCGUAUGCAACCUACCCGUAACAGGGGGAUAACACUGAGAAAUUGGUACUAAUACCCCAUAACAUCAGGACCGGCAUCGGUUCUGGUUGAAAACUCCGGUGGUUAUGGAUGGGCAUGCGUUGUAUUAGCUGGUUGGUGAGG
rnacentral:rRNA from 1 species